rnacentral:lncRNA from 1 species
GUGGACUUGGGCUAAGAGGGCGGAGCGCACAGGUUAGACUUGGGCAAUUUCAGAGCAACUUCGUGGGCACUGAAACCUGAAGUGGCUGCGUUGUGCGGUGUACCAAUGCCCAGUCUGUCCGGGUUAGGACGUGGGCGACGGAUCUGUACCUGUUGACCAAUGAGAACUUGAGAUGCCGUGGGAACCCAGAGAAAACAUGGGUAGGGAGAUCUUCCUGGAAAGGUAUCAAUGAUGGCAGCAGCAUUUCCUGACUUCUGUACACACUGUUCAUCCUUUGCAGUGUCAUGGUCACACACCUGUUGUCUGUAUGUGUGGCUCCACGUUGGUCCAUGUUUUCUUCACCAAUACCUCACUGUCUGGACCACUAUGGCUUUGGAAUAUAUCGUGUGCCCUGGGAGGUGGUUUCCCAUCUUGUUCUCAAGAUUGAUCUGUCCUUGUCCCUGUUACCUCCAAAGUCAAUUAUAGAAGUAAUUUAAGCUCCAUGAAAACUUCAGUGUAUACAUCAUUAAAAUGUACUUGAAAUUUUAUAUGAAGUGGAGAUAACUAGUAACCUUAUGACUUUUUAGUUAUUUGUAAUGAAUGUAUCAUAACUCUCCUUUCA